UACGGAGGAUGCAAGCGUUAUCCGGAAUUAUUGGGCGUAAAGCGUCCGCAGGUGGCACUUCAAGUCUGCUGUCAAAGACCGGGGCUUAACCCUGGAAAGGCAGUGGAAACUGAAGCGCUAGAGUGUGGCAGGGGUAGAGGGAAUUCCCGGUGUAGCGGUGAAAUGCGUAGAGAUCUGGAAGAACACCAAAGGCGAAGGCAGCAUCCUGGGAAGCGCCUGACGCUCAUGUGCGAAAGCUAGGGGAGCGAACGGG
rnacentral:rRNA from 1 species